GUUGUAUGGUUAAGUGACUAAGCGUACACGGUGGAUGCCUUGGCAGUCAGAGGCGAUGAAGGACGUAUUAACUUGCGAUAAGCCCAGAUUAGGUAGUAAAAACCAUUUGAGUCUGGGAUUUCCGAAUGGGGAAACCCAAUACCAUAAGGUAUUACUGUUGAGUGAAUACAUAGCUCAACAGGGCGAACCGGGGGAACUGAAACAUCUAAGUACCCCGAGGAAAAGA
rnacentral:rRNA from 1 species